rnacentral:lncRNA from 10 species
CAGGGGAUGCUUUAGGUGGGAAAAUCAAAGUACUCAUGUGCUGAUUUUCUCUUUCCAUUUUUUUCCUAUCCCUCCCUACCCCCCCGCGGUGCAUUUGUUAUCCAGUUUUAAUAAGUAGUGUAUAUGAAGCAGGUCGUCAUCUCAAAUCCUUCCUGUCAGUUUCUAACUUUUUCAGGUAUGGGAUUUUUCCUAGGAACUCUGUAGUAACGUCAGAAAUUUGGGCCGGGCACGGUGGCUCAUGCUUGUAGUCCCAGCACAUUGGGAGGCCACAGCUGGUGGAUCGUUUGAACCCGGGAGGCAGAGGUUGCAGUGAGCCACAAUCACGCCACUGCACCCCAGCCUGGACAACAGAGCGAUACCCUGUCCCUUAUCUCUACAAAAAAUAAAUAAAAUUAGCGAGGUGGGGUGGUGUGCCUGUAGUCCCAGUUACUCAGGAGGCUGAGGAUCACUUGAGCCCAGGAGUACGAGGUUGCAGUGACCAUGAUCCAGCCACUGCUGCCUACCUCGGCCACAGAGCGAGAUCUUGUCAGAAAAAAAAAAAAAGAGAAAGAAAGAAAAAUUUCAAUGAGCCAGUCCCAGUGGCUCAUGCCUGUAAUCCCAACACCUUGAGAGGCUGAGGCAGGAGGUGGAAGGAUCACUUGAGGAUAGGAGUUCCAGAACAAUCUGGGAUGCAUAGUGAGACCCCCAUCUCUAUAAAAAAAAUUUAAAAAAGAAAUUCAAACUAAAAAAAAAAAAAACUUCUAUAUAUGUUUUUUUCUAGAAGACCAAAGAACCAGAAAUAUAUUUUACCCAUUGAUAUUAAUAAUGUUUAUCGUAAUAGUAUUAAAAAGAGUAUGUAAUUCAGGCCCACUGUGUUCAUCAGGGAGCUCAUAAGUCAAUUUGUCCAAGAAGUUUCCCCUACCCCCAUCCCUAGUAUCUCCAACAUGACCCCGUUCCUCUCUGGGCUUUCCAUCUACAGCCCUGAUCUCUCUAAGAUCCUCCCAGGAUGACAGCAAGCUCUCUUAGGGCAGGGACAGGGCAAUGGCCCUUUAGUCCAGCACAAAGCCCUUUAUGUGCAUCUUCCGAUUAGUUUUCACAACCUUCUCUGGAGUUAAAUACUAUUAUCAUCCCCAGUGCGCAGAUGUUGAGACUGAGGCUCAGAGAAUUAAGCAGUCUGCUCGAGGUCACAUAGUCAGUGGGUGACAGAGCUGGGAUUCACCCCCAAGAUGAAUUGAGUCCAAAGUCUGUGCUUUUAUUUAUGUAUUUAUUUAUUUUUAAUUAAAAUAAUUUUUUAAGAGAUGGGGUCUUGCUAUGUUGUCCCCGCUGAUCUGGAAGGAACUGCUGGCCUCAAGCAAUCCUCCUGCCUUGGCUUCCCAAAACACUGGGAUUAUAGGAGUGAACCAUCCCACGCCCGGCCUCAAAGUCGGUGCUUUUAAUUACUCUUCUAUAUUGCCUCGACUAUUUGUUGAAUGAAUGAAUGCAUCUUACAACUGCAAAGGUUCUUUAACAUAAUUUACAUAACUCCUUACAAUCACCCCAAAUUCCCUCUGGCUGCUGUAACAAAUUACCGCAAACUUUGUGGCAUA